UUGCGCUUCCGCUCGCCGCCGGUCCCUGGGUGAUGCCCAGGCAUGGGGGCUGCAGUGCAUCCCAGUGCCAUGCUACAUCCCAGUGCUAUGCUCAUCCCAGUGCCACAGUGCAUCCCACAGCCUUGGGAUGUGGCUGCCUGAGAGGUGUCUGCUUGCCCUCUGCCUGGCAACAUUGGCCAGUGGGGCCCUUCUCACCAGGGUGUGCCUGGUGCCCUCAGUGUGGCAGAGCCCAGUGGCUUCGCCACCUGCCUGGCUAUGGGAACGUGCCAUGGGCCCACCAGAGCCUGAAGAACAGGAUGAGGAAGCAGCCACCUGUGUGCAGCAGGCAAGGAAAAGGGCUCUGUUCCAGGGCUGGUCCCAUGAGCCAGGAAGGCUUGCACUGCCCUUUGCACCCGGGGCCGUGGCUCCCCACCCUUGCUGAGCUGCACAGGACCCCCCUCCAGCACCCAACACGAAGCUGCUGCACUCUGCUGCCACGGUAGGUGCCUGGGAUGCCUGCCCUUCCCUGCCUUGUACUUCUGUAUGC
rnacentral:lncRNA from 1 species